CCGCGCUCUGUCAGCGGUUUAUCGGCCCUUAAAAACUUCGGCUUCGCAGGUGCCCUCCUGCCCCCGCAGCCCUCGUUCCAGCAGUCCCUAAUUCAGCCUCAUUUUCGAACUGCAGCCCCUGCCGCCGUUCCAGGCAUCCCGAGCCACUUACUCAUUCUUCCCAAUGCUUGUCGCUGCUAUCCUAAAUAUAGGGUAGUGUGCCAACGGGAGAGGCUCGGGAGCGAGCCGGGGUGCAGGGAACGCCACCGCCGUGUCGGCAGAGCCGUGCUGCUCCCAGCCCGUGCUGCCUGCUUGCUGCAGGCUUUGUGCUGCUUGGGGAGCUGCCACGUGGCUCACACCAGGCUGAGUGCUGCGGGGCCGCGCUCUGCUCCUCUGGCUGCUGCGGGGCCUGAGGGUGGGCAGUGGGGGACACCGAGAUCCCCACCGGCUUCGGCUGUGAGAGGCACGGCCAGAACUGGCUCAGACCUGACCAUAGCUUAUCUGCCACGGCCGGCUGCUCUGGAGGAAUUCCUGCACGUCUUCUGGCGGCAGAACUUCGCUCCGGCAGCGGGGGGACGUCGGAGGGAAUGCUGCGUCCUGGUUCGUGCCAUAGAGAGAGGCGCUGCGGUGCUUUGCACCUGAGCCCGGGGUCCCCUCAGCUCUGCUGGAGGAGGUGAGAGGGCGGUGGGGUCACGCUGGUGGCACUGCCGGGCUCCCCUGGCACAGGGGUGAGCCGCAGCGUGCUGCUGGUGCAGCAGAGGUGUGUGACACAGCAGCAGGAGCGGUGUGAGCUGCCUCUCCGCGUCCCGUCAGCUGAGGAAUAGCGUGGAGGAAUGAAUUCCAGUGAGUUGGAUGAGGAAAAUGUAAACUCUGCGUUCUCGUCGGGCAAACAGCAGUCGUGUAAAUAAACGUCUCUGGGAUUCCUUGUGGUGCUCAUCGACUGCCCAAUCCCUCGUGGUCUCUUGUUGAACUGGUGGGGUGGCUGCUGCUGCUCCCCCAGCUCUGAGUGCUUUGCCAGCAGUUUGGGCAAAACACAAGUAAACACCAUUGGGUUGACCCGGCAUAUCUGAGGUCUUGGUAUGCUGAAAAUGUUUGUUCUUGGGAUGUUUGUGCAGUCUGGAGGGCUCUGUACUUUAAGUCCCGUUUGCUGAGGACUGUGACUUGUUUAAUCUGUCUGAAGAACCUGUGCUUUUGGGGCUUGUUCUGUGAGAUUGAGUAAGUUUGGGCAAAGCCUGGAGGUGCUGCAGGAAGGGAGGUUAGUUCAUUAACCAACGGUCACGCAGGUGUGCAUAUUUCCUGCUCCGCCGCGUUUUCCUACCUGUGUAUUUUCCUGCAUUUAUUCACUGACUCGAUUCUGGUCUGGAUUGAAGUUCAUUGAAGUGGGAAAGGCUCUCGGGACUGCUUGGUGUUGCUUUGCUUUUCCUGAGUGUGCCGGCUGUGCUGGGCUGCCUGCAUCCUGGGACGGGCGGUGAAUAGAAGCCGAAGCUCCUGUCUGGAGGGCAGCCUUUGCCUGAGGUGUCAGCAGGGCUCAGGUGAGAUCUCACACCCCAGGACUGCAUGCCAUUUUCCCCAGUGCUGUGUCCUGCUCAAGGUCACACGGCGUGGCACCGUGGGUUCCCGGAGGCCAGGCUCCCUCUGGGAGGUGCCCUGGCAUCCCCACU
ensembl:lncRNA